AAAUUCAUUCUUCUCCUCUCCACGCCGCUGAACAGGUUGAUGGCCUUAUCCAGUGCCCUGGGCGUCAUCUCCUCGGUCUCUGUUUUCCUUCCCAUGGAGCACUAGCCGCCCAGCCUCUAUCUUCCUCAAUCUCCAGCCGCCCUCCUCACCUCCCCAGAUGUGAGCUCGCCCCUGCGCUCCAGCUCGCCAUCGCCCCUCCCUGUUCCUCGUCGGGCUGUGCGUCCUCGACUUCGACCUCGCCUCCAGCCGUGCACACACUAGAACCGUGCGCCCUGCUCCAAGUCUCCUCGUCGGUGAAGCAUCGCCAGCACAACAUCUUCUAGCUCGAACCGCUCCACUGAUUUACCCCGCCUUCGUCUUCCAGUUUCGGCUCGUGUGCUCACACCAGACACGUUCGCCGUGCAGGUACGCUAGCUGAAAAUCGUGCGAAGCGAGGGGUGUGGAU